UACGGGGGGGGCAAGCGUUGUUCGGAAUUACUGGGCGUAAAGGGCUCGUAGGUGGCCAACUAAGUCAGACGUGAAAUCCCUCGGCUUAACCGGGGAACUGCGUCUGAUACUGGAUGGCUUGAGUUCGGGAGAGGGAUGCGGAAUUCCAGGUGUAGCGGUGAAAUGCGUGGAUAUCUGGAGGAACACCGGUGGCGAAGGCGGCAUCCUGGACCGACACUGACGCUGAGGAGCGAAAGCCAGGGGAGCAAACGGG
rnacentral:rRNA from 1 species